rnacentral:lncRNA from 1 species
AGUGCAGAGGAUUACAGGCAAGUUGUUGGAGACUUUGGAGGAGUUUGUGAGGGAUAGAGCUAAGAGACCUAAGAGUCCGGAGAGGAAAGAGGAGGCACCCCCUGUGCCUCAAGAGGAGGAGCCUGUGCCUGAUAUGAAUGAAAUCAAGGCCCUGCCUGCACCGGAGGAUUUUACUCCUCCCCCACCUCCGGAGACGGAGCCCAGGCCUCAGAAACCACAGGUUACUGAGGAUUUGGUGAAUUUGAGGGAUGAUGCUGUCACGGCUGACGAUCAAGGGAAUAGGUUGGCUUUGGCUUUGUUUGCUGGUCCAGCAGCCAAUAGUGGGAACGGAUCAUGGGAAGCAU